rnacentral:rRNA from 1 species
UACGUAGGGCGCAAGCGUUGUCCGGAAUUAUUGGGCGUAAAGGGCUCGUAGGCGGUUUGUCGCGUCGGGAGUGAAAACUCAGGGCUUAACCCUGAGCCUGCUUCCGAUACGGGCAGACUAGAGGUAUGCAGGGGAGAAUGGAAUUCCUGGUGUAGCGGUGAAAUGCGCAGAUAUCAGGAGGAACACCGGUGGCGAAGGCGGCUUGCUGGGCCUUACCUGACGCUGAGGAGCGAAAGCGUGGGGAGCGAACAGG